GAUGAACGCUGGCGGCGUGCCUAAUACAUGCAAGUCGAGCGAACAGACGAGGAGCUUGCUCCUCUGACGUUAGCGGCGGACGGGUGAGUAACACGUGGUUAACCUACCUAUAAGACUGGGAUAACUUCGGGAAACCGGAGCUAAUACCGGAUAACAUGUUGAACCGCAUGGUUCAACAGUAAAAGACGGUCUUGCUGUCACUUAUAGAUGGCCCCGCGCCGCAUUAGCUAGUUGGUAAGGUAACGGCUUACCAAGGCAACGAUGCGUAGCCGACCUGAGAGGGUGAUCGGCCAGACUGGAACUGAGACACGGUCCAGACUCCUACGGGAGGCAGCAGUAGGGAAUCUUCCGCAAUGGGCGAAAGCCUGACGGAGCAACGCCGCGUGAGUGAAGAAGGUCUUCGGAUCGUAAAACUCUGUUAUUAGGGAAGAACAAAUGUGUAAGUAACUAUGCACGUCUUGACGGUACCUAAUCAGAAAGCCACGGCUAACUACGUG
rnacentral:rRNA from 1 species